CCCCCCCCCCCCAACCCCCCAUCCCCGCUGUGUGCGCAGCCGCAGUGUUGGGGUGCGGUGCGGGGUGGGCUUCGUUUGGGGCGCAGCUCCGGGCAGUGCGGACCCCUCGGAGCGAUGCGUUUUGCACGGGGAUCUCACGGCGUGCGGCCCCCGACCCCCAGGGCGGCUCUGAGCUCCGGAACCCAAAGUCUGUUUCCCUCCCUUCCCCCCCCCCCCUUUUCCCCUCCCUCCCCCCCCCCAGACCCCCCCAUAGCGCCCAGGAACCCUCAGGAAUACCGCCCGGCUCGGUGCUGCGGUGCGGCCGGGCCGGGGCUGCCCCUGCCCCAUAUUUUUAGGCACUCGGUCAGAGCUGCAGUGCUCCCGCACGGCCAGAAAGCACCUAAAAAUGGCAGAUUCCUUUUAAAAAAGGUUAUUUGAGGUCUCCCUUAAAGGGGAAGGAGGGUUUUGGCAGGAGGAGAUGGGAGGGGCGAAGGCUGCGGCCGCGGCGGCUUUAAGGCUGCGCAGCGCGGCUCUGCGUCACCCCACGGCCACCGCUGUGCACGGCCACUGCAGCCCACGGCCGUGUUUGGGGCUUUGGGGGCACCUUUCUCAGGGAUGCAGGCCUGUCCCCAAAGGGACGAAGCCCCGUCCCCAAAGGGACACAGCUCUGUUUGCAAAGGAGCACAGCUCUGUCCUCCAGCGGACGAAGCCCCAACCCCAAAGGGACGCAGCUCCGUCCUCCAAAAGAUGCAGCCCCGAUCCCAAAGGGACACAGCUCUGUCCCCAAAGGGAUACAGCCCUGUCCCCAAAAAGAUGCAGCCCCAAAGGGAUGCAGCUCUGUCCCCUAAAAGACACAGCUCUGUCCGCGAUGGGAUGCAGCUCUGUCCCCAAAAGGAUGCAGCUCUGUCUUGAAAAGGGGCACAGCCCUGUCCCCAAAGGGACGCAGUGCUGUCCCCGAAGGGAUGCAGCUCCGUCCCCAAAGAGAUGAUGCCCUGUCCCCAAAAGGACACAGCUCUGUCCUCCAAAAGUUUCAGCCCCGUCCCCAAAAAGACGCGGCUCUGCCUGAAGAGGGGCACAGCUCUGUCCCCAAUGGGACAAAGCCGUGUCCCCGAAGGGACACAGAUCUGUCUGGAAAGGGACGCAGCUCUGUCCUUCAAAAGAUGCAGCCCCGUUCCCAAAAGGAUGCAGCUCUGUCCCCGAAAGGACGAAGCCCCGUUCCCAAAAAGACACAGCUCUGUCCCCAAUGGGAUGCAGCCCCGUCCCCAAAAAGAUGCAGCCCCGUCCCCAGAAAGACACAGCUCUGCCUGGAAAGGGCCGCAGCUCUGUCCCCGCAGAGAUGCAGCCCCGUCCCUAAACGGACGCAGCUCUGUCCCCAAAGAGAUGCAGCCCUGUCCCCAAAGGGACCCCAUGCUGUCCCCAAAGGGGCCCCAUGCUGUCCCCAAAGGGACGAUGUCGGACGCGGGUGCGCCGUGCGUACCCCUCCAUGCAGAGGGCGAUAGGAAAGGCACCUUUCAGCCAUUCACCUGUUUUCUAAAUGCACAUUUUGAGAUGAAAAAAAGAAAGAGAGAGAGAGAGAGAGAGAGAGAUUUUAGUCCUUUAAUUUUGAAAGCACUUUUUAAGAUUCUUUCCUUUUCUUUUUUUUUUUUUUUUUGCCUUUUUCUGUUUUUUUUUUUUUUUUGUUUUUUUUUUUGUUUUGUUUUGUUUUUUCCCUUUUGGUGUUUUGUUUUGAACUCUCAAAGCCAGAGCAGGUGGGGCCGAAUGUAUUUUGGAGAGGGAGUGAGAGGGGAGUGUGUGCGGGGGGAGGGCUGAGUGGAGGGGGGGGGGGAGAGACGGAUGUUUAUUUAAUGCAGAAAAAAAAAAAGCAAUAAAAAUAUAUUAAAAAAAAAAACAAAAAACCAUUAUUAAAAAAACAUAAUAAUAAUAAUAAUAAAAAAAAAAACAAAGAAGUCUUAGCACUUUGCGAUGGAACGGGUACUUUGAGAUCACUUUAUCUUAAUUUAAAAAGAAAAAAAAAAAGCAAGAGCAAAACAUGUUUACAAAUCGAAACCAACUUCUACGGAAAAAAAAAAAAAGAUAUUAUUAAAAAAAAAAAAAAAAGCCUAAAUUUAUUUUUGUAAGAAAAGAAAAACGUGUAUAUAUAUAUAUAUAUAUAUAUAUUUAAAAGGAAAAACAAAAAAAAAAAAACAAAACAAAAAAAAAAACCCCAACCCCAACGUAGGCAGAAUCCGAGCUGUAUUUCGUGGAGUAAUAAAGGCUGAAAGGUGUCCAUGAGAGGAUCGGUGCUGGUGAGGCUCUGCGAUGUGCCCUGGAAAGCAGCCCCUCCGAAGUCGUUGCACUUCACCAAACGGAAGCUUGAAUUUUAGGCAGGAAUCGUGGGUUUUGUUUCAUUUUUGUGUAUCGUUCAUUUCUCCCCCUCCUCCCCCCCCCCCUCCCAACCACCCCCCUUCUUUUUUCUUUUUUUUUUUUUAAGUUUUAUUAUUAUUAUUAUUAUUAUCCCUUUUUUUUUCCUUUCUUUCUUUCUGUUGUUGUUUCUUCUUCAAUGUUCCAUAGCCAGUUCUAGGCCAGACGUGUGUCCCCCAUUGCCCCCGUCUGGUUGUGCCCAUGGGUCCGGUGCUGUGGGCCUGGAACCAUAGGCCUGGUUGCUGCUGGGCCUGCUCCUGUGGACCUAGCGCCAUUGGGCCCAGAACCACGAAGCCAUUGCCACCUGGCCCAGUGCUGUAGGCCCGGUGCCGUAGGCCCGGUAUUUUGGGCCUGGUGCCAUCGGGCCUGGUACCACAGGCCUCUGGGCCCAAUGCUGCUGGGCCUGCUCUCAUGGGCCUGGCGCCAUUGAGCCCAGUGCUGUUGGGCCUGGGCCUGUAGGCCCGGUGCCGUAGGCCGCUGGGCCUGGUCCUGCGGGCCCAGUGCAGUUGGAUUCAGCGCCGUAGGCCCAACACCACUGUGCCCGGCACUGCAGGCCCGAUCUUCUGGGCCCAAUGCUGUUGGGCCUGGAACCAUUGGCCCGGUAUGAGCAGAACCAGCACUGUGGGCCUGGCACCAUCGGGCCCGGUGCUGUAGGCCCAGCACUGUUGGGCCUGCGGUGCCAUUGGUCCUCUGGGCCCGGCGCCGUUGGGCCCGAUGCCACGAUGCAGGCCGCAGCCUUCCGCCCCAGCGGCCGUUGCCGCCCCGGGCCCAGCAGCACGCAGGCCGUGGCGGGGGCUGUCAGCCCUAUCUCUGCCCGAGGGCCACGUCUGGUGCAGCAGAUAACAACCCCCCCUCCCCCCACCUCCCCCAGCGCCCUGCAUGGCGCGGGGUCCCCUCCCACCCCCCCCACCCCCCCCCCGUCCCCACGAUGGCGGCGAGUGCCUUGGCUGGACGUCCCCGCGAAGGGACGGGGACGCAGGGCCGACCCUCUGCUCAGCGCUGGCGAAGCUCUGGCAUAUGCAAAAACUCGCGCGGACGUGUAAAUAGAGUUACUUGAGGUUCUUCUUGUAAUCGAGUCGUGGUAUCUCUUUUCUAGUUUGUGUCACUGCUCCUCUCCCCCCCACCUCUCCUCGGCCCCAAAGGAACGUUGCGACGCUUUGCGUUUCUCCCUCCGCCACUCGGGAAGCAAACCCCGGCGCCCUCCUCCCCCCGGGGGCAAAAAGGAGAGGGAAAACAAGGAGAAAAUGAUAAAAAGCAGAGAGAGAGAGAGAGGCUGCGUGUGGCUGUGUGUGUGUGUGUGGCUGUGGCUGUGUGUCAGACUCAGGAUCCCCGCGGAUGGAGCGCCGGACACCAACGCCGAUGGACGGACGCACCGUUUGCUGGCAACACUUUAGCACAAAGUUGGAAGUUUGCACUAAAAAAAAAAACAAAAAACCCAGAGAAAAUAAGGAUAAAAACGAAAAAAAAAAGAGAUGAGAAAAAGAGAGAAGGAAAGGAAGAAACGGGAAGGGAAAGGAAGGGGGAGGAAAAAGAAGGGAGAAGGAAAAAGAGAUGGGAAGGAAAUGAGUGAGAAAUGGGGGAAAAAGUGAAUGAUUAGGAAAAAAUGAGUGGGAAAGAAUAAGGAGCGAAAGGGGAACAAAAAUCAGAGAAAUGAGGAAAAAUAAGAGAAGAUUGGGGGAAAAAUAAGGACAGAUGUGAGAAAAGAUUAAAAAUUGGAAAAAAUAAGAAAAAUUAGGGAAGAAAUUGGGGAAAAAGUGAGAAAAAUGAGGAAAAAAUUGGGAAAAAAUGAGGAAAAAAUUGGGAAAAAAAUGGGGAAAAAUGAGGAAAAAAUUGGGAAAAAAUUGGGGAAAAAUGAGGAAAAAAUUGGGGAAAAAUUGGGGAAAAAUUGGGGAAAAUGAGGAAAAAA
ensembl:lncRNA